GACGAACGCUGGCGGCGUGCUUAACACAUGCAAGUCGAACGGGCCCGCCCCUGUUUUUGGGGGUGGGUUGAGUGGCGAACGGGUGAGUAUCACGUGAGUAACCUGCCCCCUGCUCCUGGAUAACUGCUUGAAAGGGCGGCUAAUACGGGGUGUGCCGGCUGGUCCGCAUGGGCCUGGUCGAGAUAGUUUCAUCUUCGGGUGUUUCGGUGGGGGUGGGGCUCGCGGCCUAUCAGCUUGUUGGUGGGGUGAUGGCCCACCAAGGCGGUGACGGGUAGCCGGCCUGAGAGGGUGGGCGGCCACACUGGGACUGAGACACGGCCCAGACUCCUGCGGGAGGCAGCAGUGGGGGGUAUUGCACAAUGGGCGGAAGCCUGAUGCAGCGACGUCGCGUGAGGGAUGGAGGCCUUCGGGUUGUGAACCUCUUUCUCCGGUGGUGAAGGCCCUGUCCGUUGCGGCGGGGUUGACGGUAGCCGGGUAUGAAGCGCCGGCUAACUACGUG
rnacentral:rRNA from 1 species